GCCUGUCGGGACCCGAAAGAUGG
rnacentral:ncRNA from 2 species